rnacentral:lncRNA from 1 species
AGCAAAUUCUUUCAUAUGAAACAACAAAGUCUCAUCCAACCGCAUCGCUAAUAACUAAAACGAAACACAAAACAAAUAAAGAUCAGUUGAUUACUUUCUUCGCAUUUGUUAUGAAAUACUAGUCUUCCAUUAUGUUGAUAUACUAGGAACACCUUCAUCUUGCUAGCAUUGAAUGCCAGGAGAUCUGCUUGCCUAAGCUAUCAGCUGACAUUGGGUUUCAAGUAAGUCAUCUGAGCAUAUAUUCCUCAAUCAUAAGCAUAACGAGGGGAUACUUGGUUGUAACGUAUCCAGAUGUUGUGGCUAUAUGGACAUUUCUCCCAACAAACAACAGGAUAGAAUGAACUCCACAGGAAAAUACUGCCCUGAUGAUUGGUUGCAAAAACAAGGGAAGGGCUACAAGUUUGACAUAAGCUUUAAGUCAUGGAUUGAUAGUGAAAUAUCCUGUGCAGUCAAGAAAUCACAUCUCUUGGUGAUCAAAGACAAGGGAGAAUUGGUUUGGACAAAAGAAAUCAGAAGUGUUUUCAUAGCUGAUGCUCAGCUGGGUCUUCCUUCUCAGGAUUUCAUUCAGAGUAAAAUUCAUGAUGAAAUGUACUUUUGGAUUGGGUGA